rnacentral:rRNA from 1 species
UAGGGAAUCUUCCACAAUGGACGAAGGUCUGAUGGAGCAACGCCGCGUGAGUGAAGAAGGGUUUCGGCUCGUAAAGCUCUGUUGGUAGUGAAGAAAGAUAGAGGUAGUAACUGGCCUUUAUUUGACGGUAAUUACUUAGAAAGUCACGGCUAACUACGUGCC